UAUCCCCAUUUAAGGGCAGUACAAAGAAGAAAACACUUUCUCAGUUGUAUUUAUUUUAUUUUUAAAUUUUGGAGGAAGACUAACUUCACAGUGAGACAGAGGACAAAACUAAGGAUCCCUGAAAUGGUACUUCAGAAAAUUCCUACUACCUUGGAGAAGGGAAAGGAGAGAAAACCAACCCGGUUGUAAUGCAGGGACCAGGCAGGCAGGCAUCCACCAGAGGAGACCAGAGCUGCUGCUUUUAAUGCUGAAACCCGAGCUUCGAGAAUGAUGGAAAUCUAUUGUUGACAAGAGGAAAGAAAUAUGGAUUCAACCUAUAACUAUGUUUAGAGCAUCAGGGGAUGAAUUAGCCUAAUUGGAAUAUUAGUCUCAGUUACAGAGAGUAAUCACUACAGGCUGCCUCUGUUUUCAUUAGAAAUUUAAUUAAGUUUAUCAAUGUUUGGCUUCCGCAGUCUUCGUUUUCAGACUCUCCCUGGACAGCCUUGUUGUUUAAGAGGGAAGUGUAUUAGAAUCUCCCCACUUACCAUGGCCCUCAGAAGUCAGCUGGGACCCAGGGAUCGAUGGGACCCCUCUAAGGGCCCUGAAACUCUGAGUCCAUGAGUCUGUUCUGAACAUAUCCCUCAACACAUAUACAGAAACUAUGCAUCAUUAUUUGUAAUACCUAGAGGUUGGAAACAACCCAAUCAUCCAUCAGUGGAGGCCUGUUUGGAUAACAGGGAGUG